GAGCCCGCGGCCUAUCAGCUUGUUGGUGAGGUAGUGGCUCACCAAGGCGACGACGGGUAGCCGGCCUGAGAGGGCGACCGGCCACACUGGGACUGAGACACGGCCCAGACUCCUACGGGAGGCAGCAGUGGGGAAUAUUGCACAAUGGGCGAAAGCCUGAUGCAGCGACGCCGCGUGAGGGAUGACGGCCUUCGGGUUGUAAACCUCUUUCAGCAGGGAAGAAGCGAAAGUGACGGUACCUGCAGAAGAAGCGCCGGCUAACUACGUGCCAGCAGCCGCGGUAAUACGUAGGGCGCAAGCGUUGUCCGGAAUUAUUGGGCGUAAAGAGCUCGUAGGCGGCUUGUCACGUCGGGUGUGAAAGCCCGGGGCUUAACCCCGGGUCUGCAUUCGAUACGGGCUAGCUAGAGUGUGGUAGGGGAGAUCGGAAUUCCUGGUGUAGCGGUGAAAUGCGCAGAUAUCAGGAGGAACACCGGUGGCGAAGGCGGAUCUCUGGGCCAUUACUGACGCUGAGGAGCGAAAGCGUGGGGAGCGAACAGGAUUAGAUACCCUGGUAGUCCACGCCGUAAACGGUGGGAACUAGGUGUUGGCGACAUUC
rnacentral:rRNA from 1 species